GGGAUAACUAAUGGAAACGGUAGCUAAUACCGCAUAAUGUCGCAAGAAAAAAGUGGGGGAACUUCUGGACUCAUGCAAUCAGAUGUGCCCAGAUGGGAUUAGCUCGGAGGGGGGGUAACGGCUCACCUAGGCGACGAUCCCUAGCUGGUCUGAGAGGAUGACCAGCCACUCUGGAACUGAGACACGGUCCAGACUCCUACGGGAGGCAGCAGUGGGGAAUAUUGCACAAUGGUCGCAAGCCUGAUGCAGCCAUGCCGCGUGUGUGAAGAAGUCCUUCGGGUUGUAAAGCUCUUUCAGCGGGGAGGAAUG
rnacentral:rRNA from 1 species